rnacentral:rRNA from 1 species
UACGAAGGGGGCUAGCGUUGCUCGGAAUUACUGGGCGUAAAGGGAGCGUAGGCGGACAUUUAAGUCAGAGGUGAAAUCCCGGAGCUUAACUUCGGAACUGCCUUUGAUACUGGCUAUCUUGAGUGUGGGAGAGGUAUGUGGAACUCCGAGUGUAGAGGUGAAAUUCGUAGAUAUUCGGAAGAACACCAGUGGCGAAGGCGACAUACUGGCUCAUUACUGACGCUGAGGCUCGAAAGCGUGGGGAGCAAACAGG